rnacentral:tRNA from 1 species
GGUAGCAUGGCCGAGCGGUCUAAGGCGCUGGUUUAAGGCACCAGUCAUUUCGAUGGCGUGGGUUCGAAUCCCCGCUGCUGCCA